UACGUAGGGUGCAAGCGUUAAUCGGAAUUACUGGGCGUAAAGCGUGCGCAGGCGGUUUGUAAGUCUGUCGUGAAAGCCCCGGGCUCAACCUGGGAACGGCGCGCGAGACGGGGGGGCUGGAGUUCGGGAGAGGAGCGUGGAAUUCCCAGUGUAGAGGUGAAAAUUCGUAGAUAUUGGGAAGAAGCACCGGUGGCGAAGGCGGCGCUCUGGACCGAGACUGACGCUGAGGCGGCGA
rnacentral:rRNA from 1 species